rnacentral:lncRNA from 1 species
AAAAACUCCUCAAGAAAUGAAGAACAAGAUAAUUCUGGCACUAUUCUACUACUAUCUCCCUCCAAUUCAUCCUCAUCUACUCCUCCUAGUGAAACCUAAAACCUAGGUUUUGAAGGCACAAAAUGCUAGCUAGAAAAACUCUACCUUUUAGAAAAUUGAGAAAGGUUUUAAAUAAGAAAUUGAAAGCUAUCCAGAUGAAAGAAAGCCCAUGUUAAGAAUCUGACUCAAGUUCUGAGUCAGAAUCAUUUAAAUCUGUUAGUGAAGGUGAAGGAUAUGGGUCUCCUAACACUGAGAAAAUUCAAGAAACCCUUGUUGAGG